rnacentral:ncRNA from 1 species
AAACGCCGGCCGUAACUAUGACGGUCCUAAGGUAGCUCUGCUGCCUGAACUCCGCUGUAUGCGGGGAAGCCCUUAGAGCCUCUGCUACGAGGUACCUUUUGGUACCCGUAAAAAUGCAGAGGAUUGGGCAAUCCGCAGGAAACCCCGAGAAGGGGGAUCCUCAGAGACUGUACGCGGAGGCCCUUGCCUCAUGGAGGAGCGGCGAUGGAACUAUCUCCAGAGUGGGUUGUAGGCUUCACAGAUGGAGAGGGAUGCUUUCACGUUUCUAUCAACAAACACCCAGAGAUGUCGGUAGGUUAUCAGGUGCUUCCUGAGUUUGUGAUAGUUCAACAUGAGCGGGAUAUACAAGUUCUAUACGCUUUGAAGAGAUUCUUCGGGUGUGGUGUGGUGCGAAGAAACAACGCUGACAGAUGGUGCCUGAGGAUAAGGAAACUUUCCUGCCUCGAGAAAGUAUGCGAGUUUUUUAGCCGGCAUCCCCUCAAAACGAAGAAACGUGUGGAUUUUAUAAGAUUCUGUAGAAUAAUAAGGAAAAUGAAAGAAAACAAGCAUCUAACGCCUGAAGGCCUACUGGAGAUAGUAGACAUAGCUCUACUUAUGAAUACUCAAAACAGAGAUACGCUCCUCCAUAUAAAAAGGGACCUAGAGGCAAGGGUAAGAUACAGUCCACCCCCUAGCGAAAGCUAGGG